CACGUAGGCACCAAGCGUUGUCCGGAUUUAUUGGGCGUAAAGAGCUCGUAGGCGGUUCAGUAAGUCGGGUGUGAAAACUCUGGGCUUAACCCGGAGAGGCCACUCGAUACUGCUGAACUUGAGUACGGUAGGGGAGUGGGGAAUUCCUGGUGUAGCGGUGAAAUGCGCAGAUAUCAGGAGGAACACCAAUUGCGAAGGCGACUACCUGGCCUGUUCUUGACGCUGAGGCGCGAAAGCUAGGGGAGCAAACGGG
rnacentral:rRNA from 1 species